AUAACUUGUUUCGUAUAAAUUGAUCUUGUGGUAAUUCUUAUUGUGAGAAACAAAAAGAAUGACACAUUGCUUUGCUGUAAGGUCUUUGUCGAAAAAGAAUGUUGAUUCUGCAUUAUCAUUGAUGUCUGGCUAACCUGCAUGGAGAUAUCUGGGAGCAGCAAAGGUCUGUUUUCAUGCUGACCCCUGCAUCAGGCGAUUCCUGAUGUCUUUGUGAUCCCAUUAACUGUGACGGGGAAACGCUCCUCACGUUGUGCGGGCCAAAGAAGAUGCCAAGGAAUGUUAGACUGAAGACUUGAGAGUUAUAGAUGAGGCAGUCACCGCUGACGCCGCAUUCGAUGCGCUCCAAGAUGCAGGCACCCUCUAUGGCUGCACCGAAAUACAGCGGGGCUGGGAGGAAUCCUGUGUAGA